rnacentral:rRNA from 1 species
AGCGAACGCUGGCGGCAGGCCUAACACAUGCAAGUCGAACGAACCCUCCGGGGUUAGUGGCGGACGGGUGAGUAACACGUGGGAACGUACCUUUAGGUUCGGAACAACACAGGGAAACUUGUGCUAAUGCCGAAUGUGCCCUUCGGGGAAAGAUUAUCGCCUUUAGAGCGGCCCGCGUCUGAUUAGCUUGUUGGUGAGGUAAAGGCUCACCAAGGCUUCGAUCAGUAGCUGGUCUGAGAGGAUGAUCAGCCACACUGGGACUGAGACACGGCCCAGACUCCUACGGGAGGCAGCAGUGGGGAAUCUUGCGCAAUGGGCGAAAGCCUGACGCAGCCAUGCCGCGUGAAUGAUGAAGGUCUUAGGAUUGUAAAAUUCUUUCACCGGGGAAGAUAAUGACGGUACCCGGAGAAGAAGACCCGGCUAACUUCGUGCCAG